rnacentral:snRNA from 1 species
GGGCUCCAGUGAUCUGGCUGCAACGUCUGUCACCCCAUUGAUCGCCAGAGUUGACUCAGCUGAUCUGGCUGGCUAGGCUGUGUCCCCUUCCUCCCUCACCACUCCAUGUGUGUCCCUCCCGAAGCUGCAUGCUCAGUUGAAGAGGACAGCCUUCCCCGAAUAGAGACAGACCAGUCUUCGGUCGAGGUUAUAUGAGUAGCUGAGCUCCCCUGUUAGAACCUCCAAACAAGCUUUCUAGAUAAAAUUAUGUUAAAUCACAUAUUGUUAGAUUAUAUCACGCUUACUAGAUCACCGUGGGCCCUA